rnacentral:lncRNA from 1 species
UGUGGUCUCACCUCAGCCUCCUCUUUUCCAGGCUGAACAGGCCAAGUGACCUCAGCCGUUCCUCAUACAUCUUCCUCUCAAGGCCCUUCACCAUCUUUGUAACCCUUUUCUGGACACUCUCCAGUAGUUUCACAUCCUUUUUGGACUGUGGUGCCCAGAACUGCACAUGGUACUCAGGUGAGGCCACACCAGCGCAGAGUAGAUUGGGACAAUCACUUCCCUCGAUCGACUAGCGAUGCCGUGCUUGAUGCUUGAUUCCAAAUAGGUUUUGUUUUGCCUCUGUUCUGGUGUUUGGAGAGAGACAUCUGUGCAGUCGGACAUGGACCACAUGGCAGCUGAGGUAAAUCCCAUUCAUCUGCCCACAGAGAAAUUCAUCCAACUAGGCAGAGCUCCCUGAGGCUUCUAGUGCUGCUCCAAGAAUGGUUCUCUCAGCUUUCCUUAAGUUUUUCUUUUCUGGUCAAGGAAAACCCCAAAUAAAUGCUACUUGUUCUCUCAGGUUUGUGUGGAAGCGGGGAUUCAUAACUGCUAAUUCCUACUGACUCCUGCUCAGGCCAAAUGCUGCUGUGGGGCCAACUGCACUGGUGAAGUCAGGGCACAAACCGUCUGUCUCCGCACCGGCAGGAUCUGUCCUGCGCUGUGCUGUUACUGGCUGCCAUGAGGGCUGGGGAGCCAGGAGCUGUGGGGGCCACCCCGGGGUGGUGAGACAGGGUCUAGCAGCCAGGGCCUGUCCCACCAUCCCAGCCAUUGAGCAGGGCAGGCUGGGGCAGCCAGGAAUCUCUCAGGUACUUCAGGCUGGCUGUCAUGUGGGAUGGCACUGUGCAGAGUGGUGUCCAUGGAGACGGGGACAGUGUUGUUCGAAGGUGGAUUAUGUUGUUUAGUUUGUAAAAGAAUAGUGAAAAUAUAGUCCUCCAAUACUCAAUUAUGCAUGAGCCUUGCCCUGGGAAAACUACCCUUCAGAUCAGGAUGUCUCCUUGCCACAAGCAGCUUGAAAGGUAUUGUGGAAGAAGAGCAGACAGUUUUGUAAAUGGAGGAGGAAGGAGGGGAGCAAAAAAAAAGUUUUUUGGAACAGUGAACAGUAUGCAAAAGUUUGAGAAUACUUUUCAAGGUAUAGAAAAGAUAGAUGGUUGACCAAAAAGCUGUGGCUUGCAUUAAAGGCUGGAAAAGUUGGUGAUUUAGAGCUCUUCUAAUUGUAGAUGUAGUCAGCUGCUGAGUAGAUGAUGUCUAGGAGGCCUUUCUUCUCUAGGUUAUCUGAUUUUGUAAAGUCUUUGCGUAUUUGUAAAGUAUUCCUUCAAGACAGGUGGCCUCUAUUUGUAAAGUCUUUGUAUCUUUGUAAGGUAUUCCUUCAAGACAGAUGAUCCCUAUUCCCUUAUCUAAUACACUAAGAGAGCCUUUAAAAUAGGCCUGUCUGGUCUUUUGAAAAGUGAUUAUGGCAAAAAAAGGAAG